AUUGAACGCUGGCGGCAUGCCUAACACAUGCAAGUCGAACGGCAGCAUGAUAAGAGCUUGCUCUUAUUGAUGGCGAGUGGCGGACGGGUGAGUAAUAUGUAGGAAUCUACCUAGAGGAGGGGGAUAACUUAGGGAAACUUAAGCUAAUACCACAUAAGCCCUACGGGGGAAAGCAGGGGAUCGCAAGACCUUGCGCCUUAUGAUGAGCCUACAUCGGAUUAGCUUGUUGGUGGGGUAAAGGCCUACCAAGGCGAUGAUCCGUAGCUGGUCUGAGAGGAUGACCAGCCACACUGGGACUGAGACACGGCCCAGGCUCCUACGGGAGGCAGCAGUGGGGAAUAUUGGACAAUGGGGGCAACCCUGAUCCAGCAAUGCCGCGUGUGUGAAGAAGGCCUUAGGGUUGUAAAGCACUUUCAGUGGGGAGGAAGGGUUUAAUGCUAAUAUCAUUGAACAUUGACGUUACCCACAGAAGAAGCACCGGCUAACUCUGUGCCAGCAGCCGCCGUAA
rnacentral:rRNA from 1 species